ACAUUCAUCGGAGGAAAGAAGAAACCUUAAAAUCUCCACUUUAACAGCCGCCGAUCGGAACCCUAAUUCCCGAACCACCAAACGACAAUGCUUGAGAUAUGUAAUAUAGCGAUAGAAACCCCAAUCCAAAAAGGGAUUAUCUUGAAAGAAAUUUUAAGAACACAAUAGCAACAGGUAAUGAAAUUUACAUCAGAAA